GACGGGCCCGCACAAGCAGCGGAGCGUGUGGUUUAAUUCGAUGUUUACACGAAGAACCUUACCAGGGUUUGACAUGCAAGUGGUAGGAAACCGAAAGGUGACCGACCCUUCGGGGAGCUUGCACAGGUGCUGCAUGGCUGUCGUCAGCUCGUGUCGUGAGAUGUUCGGUUAAGUCCGCUAACGAGCGCAACCCUCGCUGUGUGUUAUAUGUGUCACACGGGACUGCCGGUCUUAAGCCGGAGGAAGGUGGGGAUGAUGUCAAGUCAGCAUGGCCUUUAUAUCCUGGGCUACACACACGCUACAAUGGCCAACACAAUAGGUUGCUAAGCCGCGAGGUGGCGCCAAUCCAUAAAGUUGGUCUCAGUUCAGAUUGUAGGCUGCAACCCGCCUGCAUGAAGAUGGAGUUGCUAGUAACCGCAGGUCAGCUAUACUGCGGUGAAUACGUUCCCGGGGCUU
rnacentral:rRNA from 1 species